rnacentral:rRNA from 1 species
GAUGAACGCUGGCGGCGUGCUUAACACAUGCAAGUCGAACGAUGAAGCCCAACUUGCUGGGUGGAUUAGUGGCGAACGGGUGAGUAACACGUGAGUAACCUGCCCUUAACUCUGGGAUAAGCCUGGGAAACUGGGUCUAAUACCGGAUAGGAGCGCCUACCGCAUGGUGGGUGUUGGAAAGAUUUAUCGGUUUUGGAUGGACUCGCGGCCUAUCAGCUUGUUGGUGAGGUAAUGGCUCACCAAGGCGACGACGGGUAGCCGGCCUGAGAGGGUGACCGGCCACACUGGGACUGAGACACGGCCCAGACUCCUACGGGAGGCAGCAGGG